CCAGACUCCUACGGGAGGCAGCAGUGAGGAAUAUUGGUCAAUGGGCGGGAGCCUGAACCAGCCAAGUCGCGUGAGGGAUGACGGCCCUAUGGGUUGUAAACCUCUUUUGCCGGGGAGCAAAGUGCCGCACGUGUGCGGUUUGGAGAGUACCCGGAGAAAAAGCAACGGCUAACUCCGUGCCAGCAGCCGCGGUAAUACGGAGGAUGCGAGCGUUAUCCGGAUUUAUUGGGUUUAAAGGGUGCGUAGGCGGGCUUUUAAGUCAGCGGUCAAAUGUCGGGGCUCAACCCCGGCCUGCCGUUGAAACUGGCAGUCUCGAGUUGGAGAGAAGUAUGCGGAAUGCGCGGUGUAGCGGUGAAAUGCAUAGAUAUCGCGCAGAACUCCGAUUGCGAAGGCAGCAUGCCGGCUCCACACUGACGCUGAGGCACGAAAGCGUGGGUAUCGAACAGGAUUAGAUCCCCCAGUA
rnacentral:rRNA from 1 species